rnacentral:rRNA from 1 species
AUUGAACGCUGGCGGCAUGCUUUACACAUGCAAGUCGAACGGUAACAGGGAGCUUGCUCCGCUGACGAGUGGCGAACGGGUGAGUAAUGCGUCGGAACGUGCCGAGUAGUGGGGGAUAACGCAUCGAAAGGUGUGCUAAUACCGCAUACGUACUGAGGUAGAAAGUGGGGGACCUUCGGGCCUCACGCUAUUCGAGCGGCCGACGUCUGAUUAGCUAGUUGGUGAGGUAAAGGCUCACCAAGGCGACGAUCAGUAGCGGGUCUGAUAGGAUGAUCCGCCACACUGGGACUGAGACACGGCCCAGAAUCCUACGGGAGGCAGCAGUGGGGAAUUUUGGACAAUGGGCGCAAGCCUGAUCCAGCCAUGCCGCGUGUCUGAAGAAGGCCUUCGGGUUGUAAAGGACUUUUGUCCGGGAGCAAAUGCUGGUGGCUAACAUCCACCGGAGCUGAGAGUACCGGAAGAAUAAGCACCGGCUAACUACGUGCCAGCAGCCGCGGUAAAAC